GACGGUGACGGCCACCUCCCCAGCAAGCUGCUCCUGUCCAUCUGCAUGGGAUGCAUCAAGGUGGCCAGGUGGCUGGCAAUUUUGAGUAUGGUCCAGUGGGUAGCAUCGAUGCGGAGCAGCGGAAGUCCUCCUUUGUCCGUGUGUAGCAGCAGGAUGGUAGCAAGGUGCUCAGGUCGCAGCCUUCAUCCAAGAAGAAACAGAAAAAGUUAUAUCCCUCUCUCCGUCUUGCUUAAAUUCAUUCUUCUCUCUUUCCGUAAGCACAAUUUGAGUGGAACACACACACCAAUUGAAAAUCAGAUUGAUUGUUGUGUUUGGUUGCCGGCAAGUAGGACAUCCGGUGGGAUGGCGUUCUGAAGAUGUUGACGGGCAGAUGUUGGCUCCUCAUUCUGAAUUCUUUUCUCGAAAAGAACAAACAAACUUCUUUUUAAUUUAUAAUUCUGAAUGUUGAAUGCUGAUUGAGGGUGUGCUGCAACUCGAUACUGGAUAGUUUACCCUAGUUUGGUAUGUAUAAUGGUGCUUUUAACUAUGUUUUGCUGUAACCUGGAGUUAGUCUUGUAUUUCUUAAUUUGCCUGGUAAGGAUAUAUAGCAGUAGCAUUAACAACAAUCCAAUUUCUGCAUGUCAUGUCUAUGUUAAUUACUACUGUGUUGUAGCAAGUCAAAGCGGCCUAGUUAUAUUCUGUUGUAUGCCUGCACAUCUAUUAGUUGUUAUUGCUACAAGCUUCUGAAGUACUAUUUGUAAAUCAAGAAGAAAUAUUGAGGAUCAGCUCGUAGUCGACCUUUAUAUUGUUACUUUGGUUGCAUACAUAAAUGGCCCAGCCUUAACAUCAAACCUUAGUACAUGAAUGGCAUGCAUACUGAUGGGAAGGUGAUUGCCGGACAACUUGCUUGAUUAAUUAUGCAUGCUCUAUUUUUUAUCUUAUAUUUUGCCUCACAUAUUGUUCUACAUUUCUUCCUUGAUAAAUAUUUAGGACAUUGAUAAGUUGUUAUCUCUCAACGGAAUUUUUGCUACUGGUUGGACUGCCUGUAUCGAUUAUUUUGUUAAAAAGAUUACAUCUUGACAUUUAGGUGGACACUUAGAUCCUUAUUUAUUUUUUUAUUUUGUUUCAUGGGAGCACAAUUGCAGCUCUAGUUGUUCAUGUUCUAUGCACACGUGCAGGACCUCCUAAUAUCCCAGUGAGGAAUAAUAGCUGAAACUUUUUUUUAUGCUUCUUAUUCUAAUUUUUUAAGCUUCUGAAACUUUUGAACACACUAGUUGGUUCAUUCUGCUAUAAAUAAAUCAUGAAACAUUAGUAUGCUAACAUUUGUAACAUUCUCUGGCUAUGUCUUCUUUAACAUACUAAAUGAUUGACCGGACUAAAAUUAUGUUGGUUGCUGAUCCAUGUAUUCCUGGUCUCUUUGUAUAUAUUGCGGCUAACAAUGUUGUGCUACGGAGUACAAAGUUCAACUAUUAUUUAUUAGAACAAACUCUGAACCGUCUAUGAAAUGCACAAGAAAUCUUGCGAAAAAUGUUUCCUUUUGCAUAGGCAGUAGAGAAAGUGUGCACGUAUUGGUAGAUGAAAAUUCAUUUCACUAAAGCAAAGCCUCUUGUUUGGAUAUGCAGGUCCAUGUUUGCUGCACAAUCUGCAUGGCAUGCAUCAAGGCGGCCAGGUGGCCGUCAAUUUCUAGCAGGGUCCAGAGGGUAACAUGGAUGCGGAGCAGCAGGCGUCCUCCUUUAUCCGUGUGUACCAGCUUGCCAGUAGCGAGGUACUCAGGUCACAGCCUUAAUCCUAGAAGAAACGGGAAAAGGUAUACCGGUCUCUCCCUCUUGGUUAAAUUUAUUAUUCUCUCUCUUCAUGAUAACAAUUUGUGUCAAACACACGCAUUAGUUAAAAAUCAGAUUGAUUGUUGUGUUUGCUUGCCGGCAAGUAGGAUGGCCGGUCUGAUGGUGUUAUGAAGAUGUUGACCAGCUGACUCUGGCUCCUAAAUCUAAAUUCUUUUAUCAAAGAGAAGAAACAAACUUAUUUUUAAAUUAUAAUGCUGAAUGUUGAAUUCUGAUUGUGGUGUGCUUCUAGCCUGCAACUCCAGACUAGAUAGUUUACUGCAGUUUGGUCUGUAGAACGGUGCUUUUAACUCUGUUUUGCUGUAACGUGGAGUUAGUCUUGUAUUUCUUGAUUUGCCAGGUGAGGUAUAUAGCAAGAGCAUUAACAACAUAUCCAGUUUCUGCACAUCAUAUCUAUGUAAUUACUAUGCUGUAGCGACCUUGUUAUAUUCUACCGUAUGCCUGCACAUCGAUUUAGCUUCUAUUUCUACAAGCUUUUGAGAGUGAACCAACAUAUUGUAGCGAGAUGCUCAGGUUGCAGCCUUCAUACAAGAAGAAACAGAAAAAGUUAUAUCCCUCUCUCUGUCUUGCUUAAAUUCAUUAUUCUCUCUUUUCGUAAGCACAACUUGAGUGAAACACACUCUCUCACACCCACACCAAUUCAAAAUCAGACUGAUUGUUGUGUUUGGUUGCCGGCAAGUAGGACGUCCGGUCGGAUAGCGUUCUGAAGAUGUUGACCGGCUGCCGCAGGCUCCUCAUUCUGAAUUCUUUUCUCGAAAAGAACAAACAAACUUCUUUUUAAUUUAUAAUUCUGAAUGUUAAAUGCUGAUUGAGGGUGUGCUGCAACUCGAGACUGGAUAGCUUACCAUAGUUUGGUAUGUAGAAUGGUGCUUUUAACUUCGUUUUGCUGUAACCUGGAGUUAGUCUUGUAUUUCUUGAUUUGCCUGGUAUGGGUAUAUAGCAGAAGCAUUAACAAGAAUUCAGUUUCUGCAUGUCAUGUCUUUGUUAAUUACUAGUAUGUUGUAGCAAGUCAAAAGCGGCCUUGUUAUAU